rnacentral:rRNA from 1 species
AUUGAACGCUGGCGGCAGGCCUAACACAUGCAAGUCGCACGAGUGGCGGACGGGUGCGUAAUGUCUGGGAAACUGCCUGAUGGAGGGGGAUCACUACUGGAAACGGUAGCUAAUACCGCAUACCAUCAGAUGUGCCCAGAUGGGAUUAGCUAGUUGGUGGGGUAACGGCUCACCAAGUCGACGAACCCUCGCUGUUAUGAGCGGAUGACCAGCCACACGUGAACUGAGACACGGUCCAGACCUCGUCGGGAGGCAGCAUUGGGGAAUAUUGCAAAAUGGGCGCAAGCCUGAUGCAGCCAGGCCGCGUGUAUGAAGAAGGCCUGCGGGUUGGAAAGUACUUUCAGCGGGGAGGCGUUACCCGCAGAAGAAGCACCGGCUAACUCCGUGCCAGCAGCCGCGGUAAUUC